AGGAAAGUGGAUCAUUUAGUCGACAUAAAGGAAAGAAUUGAUGAAAUGUUCGAAAAUUUAGACAAUUCAUCUAUUCAAUCGUGUACCAUGUUCAAAGUAAAUGUGUGAAAACGUGAAUCAAAUCCAGUUGUAUAUACAUCAAAGAUGGUCUCUAUUGGUUCGAUUCGUAAUUACAGUUGAAGAAAAAGGGAUGGCACACUCCAUUGAGAUGACCUCAAUAGAUGAUCAAAUUCCACUACUUCCUCAAACUGAAAAUGAUGAGAUAGAAGAAGGGAGGAAAGUGGAUCAUUUACUCGACAUAAAUGAAAGAAUUGAUGAAAUGUUUGAGGAUUUAGACAAUUCAUCUAUUAAAUUGUGUACGAUAUUUGAAGUAAAUGUGUGGCUACGUGAA